rnacentral:tRNA from 1 species
GCCGCGGUAGCUCAAUGGCAGAGCAUUUCCCUGAAGAGGAAAGGGUUGUCAGUUCGAUUCUGACCCGCGGCA